AUGCAAGAUUAUUUUUCGGAGAAUCCUACAUAUCCUGCACACCUCUUCCGCAGAAGGUACCGAAUGCGCCGAUCCCUUUUUGUGAAAAUUGUUGAAGCUUGCGAGGCAAAUUGCCGGUAUUUCACUCAGAGAAGGAAUGCCGCGGGCUUAAAGGGAUUUAGUGCAUAUCAAAAAAUCUCCGCAGCUAUGCGGGUGAUUGCAUAUGGCGCUCCGGCUGACUAUGCAGAUGAGUAUCUUCGCAUUGGUGAAGAUAACACAAUUGAGUCUGUGCGUAGAUUUGCGAAAGUGAUCGUCCGUGUCUUUAGUCCUGAGUAUCUUCGGGCUCCAAAUGAAGAUGACACAAAGAUAUUGAUGGCAGCUAAUGAGAGGAGAGGUUGGUCUGGGAUGCUAGGUAGCAUUGAUUGUAUGCAUUGGAAUUGG
rnacentral:rRNA from 1 species